rnacentral:rRNA from 1 species
UAAUCUGCCUGGGAGCGGGGGAUAACCUGGGGAAACUCGGGCUAACACCGCAUACGUUGGCUGGGAUACGUCCUGGUCAGGAAAACUGGCCUCUACUUGUAAGCUAGUGCUCCCAGAGGAGCCCGCGGCUGAUUAGCUAGUUGGUGAGGUAAUGGCUCACCAAGGCGACGAUCAGUAGCCGGCCUGAGAGGGUGAUCGGCCACACUGGGACUGAGACACGGCCCAG